CUUGCAUUAUAGAGGAAACACACCAAUCCAUCCCGAACUUGGUGGUUAAACUUUACUGCGGUGAUGAUACUGUAAGGGAGGUCCUGCGGAAAAAUAGCUCGAUGCCAGGAUG
rnacentral:rRNA from 1 species